rnacentral:rRNA from 1 species
GCAAGUCGAACGGUAACAGGUCUUCGGAUGCUGACGAGUGGCGCACGGGUGCGUAACGCGUAUGCAACCUACCUCUAUCAGGGGGAUAGCCCGAAGACAUUCGGAUUAAUACCUCAUAGUAUUACGAUCUGGCAUCUGAUUGUAAUUAAAGCUUCGGCGGAUAGAGAUGGGCAUGCGUCCUAUUAGUUAGUUGGCGAGGUAACGGCUCACCAAGAUAACGAUGGGUAGGGGGCCUGAGAGGGUGAUC